AAAUUGAAGAGUUUGAUCAUGGCUCAGAUUGAACGCUGGCGGCAGGCCUAACACAUGCAAGUCGAACGGUAGCACAGAGGAGCUUGCUCCUUGGGUGACGAGUGGCGGACGGGUGAGUAAUGUCUGGGAAACUGCCCGAUGGAGGGGGAUAACUACUGGAAACGGUAGCUAAUACCGCAUAACGUCGCAAGACCAAAGAGGGGGACCUUCGGGCCUCUUGCCAUCGGAUGUGCCCAGAUGGGAUUAGCUAGUAGGUGGGGUAACGGCUCACCUAGGCGACGAUCCCUAGCUGGUCUGAGAGGAUGACCAGCCACACUGGAACUGAGACACGGUCCAGACUCCUACGGGAGGCAGCAGUGGGGAAUAUUGCACAAUGGGCGCAAGCCUGAUGCAGCCAUGCCGCGUGUAUGAAGAAGGCCUUCGGGUUGUAAAGUACUUUCAGCGAGGAGGAAGGCGUUG
rnacentral:rRNA from 1 species